rnacentral:lncRNA from 1 species
GUUUCCUUUAUUUAAAGCCUUGAUAUCCCUGUCCCAUGUAAGUGCAGAGUGUAUGUAAAAUCCUGACUAUUGAAAAACAAAUAUAAGAUAAAAACAAAAACAAAAAACAAAAAAAACUUCAUUCAAGUCACUAUGUAUAAGAUAUAAACAAUUGUACAUGUAGGUCAAAGUACAGCAUUCAACAUGAAGCCUUUUACUCAUACCAAACAGAGAGCUAUAAAGGGCCCCAAAAUGACUAGUUUAAAUCAAUUCUAACUAAAAUACUAAAGUCUAAUCUAUAUAAAAAAAGAGAAAGGAGAAACACUUAUGAACCACACCAACAAACGACAACUACCGGUUUACAGGCUCCCG